UAUUAUUUCACGCACAUAAUCAGCAUAAACUAUUCUUACCCAUUUUCUCAAUUGCCCCACCUUUUAUUCCUUUUCUCUCUCCUCAAAUCCAAAACCUAAUCAUCUUCUUCCUCCCUCAAAUCCCAAAACCUAAUCACCACAUGUGCUUUCUCAAUUCAUCUGCUACAAUCAGAAUAUUUAUCUAUAGAAAAUGCUUAUAUAUUUUGGAGAGAUUAUGCUAGCCAAGGUUAAGUCACAACGCCAUUAAACUAAAACUAAAAGAUGGUGUUAUGAUUUAUGAACUUGUGAGUUCUAGUGUUCUAUAGAGCUGGUUUUCCCUUUUUACAUAUAUUUUGUUGUAAAUUUUUGCUAGUAAAAUUUAUUAGGUAGUUAAAGAUUUUUUAUCUUUUAGAUAUAUGUAUGUAUAUACUCCUUGUUUUCUAUCUCUAGAUCAAUUUUCAAUACCAUAAAUUAUCUCAAUUUUUAGUCAUUUAAAUAUUUUGUUAAUUCUGUUUUUUUUUCUUGCUUCUCCUUUGUUUGUUAAGCCCAUAAAAAUCUCCACGAACUGGAAAUAUGAAACAGUGACACUGAAGUUUGGAUAUCGGAUAUCCGUUAUACCCGAUCCGAGAACUUUCGGAUAUCAGAUAUCCGAAAAUGUUCGGAUCGGAUACGAAUAUGAAAUAUUAAAAUUUUCGGAUACGGAUAUCGAUCCGAAGUCGGAUUUCGGAUCGGAUAUCCGACCCGUGCUCAGCCCUAUUUCCAUGCCCCCAGGUACAAGUUCCAUAGAGAACAUCCUCGGAAUCCGAAGCUUGAUCAACACCAAUUGUCUGAUGAUCUUCUUGCUCGGGUGAACGAAGCUCGUUACGACCAGUGGCGAACUGACGGUCCUUUGGACCCCUUGCAUGUGACAACUUUGAUUCGUCAGUUGGUCACCACUUCGGAUCCGGGUCCCAAAGUAGUUGUUGUUGUUCUUCCGGUUCAAGCAUCAUCUUCACCUGCUGUGUUGGCAGCUCCGGCUCCCGAGGCUCAGGAGAAAGAAGACCGACCAGAGGCGAAGGAAGUCUUCUCAGCAUUCGAAGGCGAAAAAAAGACGAUCUUCAUCUUCUCCCGAGCGAGAGAAGAAGAAGAGGAAGUUUCCUGAGCCCUCGAAGCAGAAGAAGAAGUGGUUUCACUCUUCUCUCGAGCAAGAGAAGAAGAGGCCAUCUGAUCCCGAGGCUAAGAAAAGGAAAUUGCAAGAGCCGAAGGAGAAAGAAGUUAUUGUUUGGGAGUUCCUCAAGGAGAGGAAACCUGUUUCAAAUGCGGCUGUCUUGAAGGCUUUGGAAGUGGAUUCGAAACUUGGCAACUUCUCCAGUUCGGUAAACCAUCUCUCUUCGACCUCAAUGUAUUUAUACUUUCCCGAACUCUGAAGCAAACUUCACUGGGCCACGACGAUAUAAUAUAUUUUCAAGAAAAUUACGCGAGAACCCGCGGUAAAUAAAUAAGGAGAUUUUAUUC